UGGUGAGUGCAGAAACUAGGGAAGGC
rnacentral:piRNA from 1 species